AGUUUUGUGCGGUGGCAGUAUCGUAGCUAAUGAAGUUCAUCUGAGGCGCGAUUACUGCUAAUUAAAAUGUUUUGAACUAUGUGGCUGUUAUUACCAGUCAAAAGUCAUGUCUACAGAAAUUGAAAACGUAAUACUAGG